rnacentral:lncRNA from 1 species
CACGUAUGUAAACGAACCGAACAUUCAAUGAACAGUUCGUGAACCGUUCAGAGGGAAGUUCGUUUAUGUUCGUUCGUUUAUUAAACGAACGAACAUGAACAAGAAUUUCGUUCAAUUAGUUAAAGGAACGAACAUUAACAGAGGUCCCAUUCGUUCAUUUGUAUUCGUGAACAUUCAGUAACAAAAUGUGAAAGCCAAAUAGAAUCCAGUUGGACAGCACGGAAGGGUUGGAAAAGUGGCUAUAAAAGUUACCUAAAUAAAGA